rnacentral:rRNA from 1 species
GGGUGCUAACGUCCGUCGUGAAGAGGGAAACAACCCAGACCGCCAGCUAAGGUCCCAAAGUCAUGGUUAAGUGGGAAACGAUGUGGGAAGGCCCAGACAGCCAGGAUGUUGGCUUAGAAGCAGCCAUCAUUUAAAGAAAGCGUAAUAGCUCACUGGUCGAGUCGGCCUGCGCGGAAGAUGUAACGGGGCUAAACCAUGCACCGAAGCUGCGGCAGCGACACUAUGUGUUGUUGGGUAGGGGAGCG